AGACUUGUUGUGUAAUGGUAGCACAUCAGAUUUUGAUUCUGAAAGUUUAGGUUCGAAUCCUAACGAGUCUG
rnacentral:tRNA from 1 species